GAUGAACGCUGGCGGCGUGCCUAAUACAUGCAAGUCGAGCGAACAGACGAGGAGCUUGCUCCUCUGACGUUAGCGGCGGACGGGUGAGUAACACGUGGAUAACCUACCUAUAAGACUGGGAUAACUUCGGGAAACCGGAGCUAAUACCGGAUAAUCUAUUGAACCGCAUGGUUCAAUAGUGAAAGACGGUUUUGCUGUCACUUAUAGAUGGAUCCGCGCCGCAUUAGCUAGUUGGUAAGGUAACGGCUUACCAAGGCAACGAUGCGUAGCCGACCGGAGAGGGUGAUCGGCCACACUGGAACUUAGACACGGUCCAGACUCCUACGGGAGGCAGCAGUAGGGAAUCUUCCGCAAUGGGCGAAAGCCUGACGGAGCAACGCCGCGUGAGUGAUGAAGGUCUUCGGAUCGUAAAACUCUGUUAUUAGGGAAGAACAAAUGUGUAAGUAACUAUGCACGUCUUGACGGUACCUAAUCAGAAAGCCACGGCUAACUACGUG
rnacentral:rRNA from 1 species